rnacentral:rRNA from 1 species
UUCUGUUUAACUUCAGUAAACCUGGGGAGAACCGUAAUGGUGAGAACCGGGUGAAAGGAGGAUGAGCUGGCCUUAAGGCUGGUUCGGCUGAUUCGUGGAGCCCUUGAAAAGGGUAUUAGGAAGGAGUCUCCAAGUCCGUACCGAGAACCGACACAGGUGCCCUAGAUGAGUAGUCUCAGGCGUGUCGGGAACGCCCUAGGUCAGGGAACUCGGCAAAUUAGCCCCGUACCUUCGGUAUAAGGGGUGCCUGGGUCCCUAAGCGAAUGCUUGGGGGUCUAGGUCGCAGUUACAAGGGGGUCCCGACUGUUUAAUAAAAACAUAGAUCCCCGCAAGCCCGUAAGGGUGUGAACGGGGGUUGAAUCCUGGCCACUAGCGGUCCGUGAAAACCGGGUACAACCGGGCGAAGCGCCGCUGAAGGCCGGGAGUAACUCUGACUCUCUUAAGGUAGCCAAAUGCCUUGCCGGGUAAGUUCCGGCGUGCAUGAAUGGAACAACGAGGACCCCGCUGUCCCGACCUGGGGCCCGGUGAACCUACCUCUUGGUGAAAAGGCCAAGAACUUCCAACGUGGGGAGAAGACCCCGUGGAGCUUUACUGCAUCCUGUCGUUGGGGUAGGGUCAUGAUUGCAGAGCGUAGGUGGGAGUCGCUAUAUCCCAGUUCCUCAGGGGACUGGGGGAGACAACAAUGUAACACCACCCCCUCAUGGCUAUACUUCUUACCGAAGCGCAAGCUUCGGAACAUCGGCAGGUGGGCAGUUCGGCUGGGGCGGCACGCCCUUGAAAAAGUAUCAAGGGCGCCCAAAAGUCAGCUCAGGCGGGUCAGAACUCCGCCGUAGAGGGCAAGGCCAAAAGCUGGCUUGACUGGAUCCUGAAAAGCGAGGGAUCCAGGGUCGAAAGACUGGCCUAGCGACCGCUCGUGCCCCCCUCUGUGGGGGCCGGGCAUGACAGAAAAGUUACCCCGGGGAUAACAGAGCCGUCGCGGGUGAGAGCUCCCAUCGACCCCGCGGUUUGCUACCCAGAUGUCGGCUUUUCCUAUCCUGGGAGUGCAGCAGCUCCCAAGGGUGGGGCUGCCCGCCCAUUAAAAGGGAACAUGAGUUGGGAUUAGACCGUCGUGAGACAGGUCGGACUCUCCCUGUUGGAAGCGCUGGCUGCUUGAGGGGAAGGUGCGGCUAGUACGAGAGGAACGCUGUGCCGCUGCCUCUAGUUUACCGGUUGUCCGGUAGGGCACUGCCGGGCAGCCACGCAGUAAGGGGUAACCGCUGAAAGCAUCUAAGUGGGAAACCCACCACGAGACUAAGCAGCCAUCC